rnacentral:rRNA from 1 species
GACGAACGCUGGCGGCGUGCUUAACACAUGCAAGUCGAACGGAAAGGCCCUGCUUUUGUGGGGUGCUCGAGUGGCGAACGGGUGAGUAACACGUGAGUAACCUGCCCUUGACUUUGGGAUAACUUCAGGAAACUGGGGCUAAUACCGGAUAGGAGCUCCUGCUGCAUGGUGGGGGUUGGAAAGUUUCGGCGGUUGGGGAUGGACUCGCGGCUUAUCAGCUUGUUGGUGGGGUAGGGGCUUACCAAGGCUUUGACGGGUAGCCGGCCUGAGAGGGUGACCGGCCACAUUGGGCCUGAGAGACGGCCCAGACUCCUACGGGAGGCAGCAGUGGGGAAUAUUGCACAAUGGGCGGAAGCCUGAUGCAGCAACGCCGCGUGCGGGAUGACGGCCUUCGGGUUGUAAACCGCUUUCGCCUGUGACGAAGCGUGAGUGACGGUAAUGGGUAAAGAAGCACCGGCUAACUACGUG